GUUUACACUAUUUUGGCCUCUCCUACACGGAAUAUGUCCCCUGAAACAUGACCACACUUCAUGCUCACCCUUCUGUUCUGAGCAGAAAAUAGGUGCAAAUAUAACAAUGGCUUAUUAUCUGAGGGAGAGGGGUCGGCACCAUUUUGUGGUCCUGUCACUUUCUGCUCUUUUAGAUAUGGCAGCCAUUUUGUGCUAUGCCCCCCCCGGCAGCCAUUUUAUGUCUGGCACUCAUGGCACUGCCUCCAAAUAACAAAUGUGCCCCAAAAGAUUGACAAUCCCUGCUUUAAAUUAUACUACAACCUCACAACUAAACACUUGGAUUGCUGAGAAUGUAAUGAAGAAGUUCCUAACCACUUGUCACCAGAGAUUCCUUAUCACUUGGGCAAGAGCAGAGGU